GCCUUCGUGGUAUAGUGGUUAGCACACUCGACGCGUAUUCGAGAGGUCCGGGGUUCGAGUCCCGGCCAAAGCA
rfam:Stegodyphus mimosarum contig58881, whole genome shotgun sequence.